GUCUCUGUCAGUCAUUAACCCCAGAGCCCAAACGGCUCUCUCCCUUCUUUAACCGAGUCAAUUUAGUAGACAUGUGAAUACUCCAGCUUGGAACACGUGGCAAGCAUCACGACAUGGAGCUCCAUAGAGUUCCAAAUUAAGGGUGAAGAUCAAUCCAACAUGCCCAUCGUCCUCUCUCUAGAAAAUCUGAAAAGGUUUUCUCUCCAUUUCACAGCAAGCCCUUCUAUUAUGUUUUUUUUUCAGUUCUCUCAGACCCCAUUUCUCUGCUCCCUCUUCUUCAUAGCGUCUCAGAAACGCAAAAUCCUUCUGUCUUUUAGAAAGUCAGCCACCUCCUCUCUCGGAUCUCUGCCCUCGCAGCUGUACCACGUACCUCCCAGUGUUUCAAUAGCCCAUCCAUGGUAGAAAUCGGAAAAUCAGAAAGCCAAAGCUAUGUGAGGACCCCCAAUAAUUUCGAAUCCGAGACAACAUCACCCUGAAUCGCCAUCUCAACUCCACAAAAUCAUGUCUCCCAAGCCUCAAGCCAUCAGAAAUUGGAGUACCAUUUUGCACAUGCCACGUAGGUGUCCGAGAUGAACAAAGAGACAGAAGAGACAAAGUCAAAAAGCUUCCAAACUCACGGAUCUGCAAAUUGUGAGCAUACACCCGUGAGAAAACAAGCUGAAGCAGCCGGUCUAAUAGUCCCAGAAAGCAAAAUCAACAGCAACUGUCGCGGCCUUUGUAUGUCAUCAAGGGUAUACGGAUCCAUGAUAGAGCCAAGGAGACAGAAGUAAACACACAAGAGCAACGGAGGAAAACAGCACAGGCCGCAUGACCCAGAUCGAUGCAUCUGGGAGGUAAAAUUCGAAUCCCUGCAAGUGUAAUUGUUGUAGAUCUGGUAAUAAUAUCUGUACUCAGUUCUGUGGUGUAUGGAUCUGUGAUUUAAUUGUGCUUCCUCCAUGCAUCGCAAAACUGAGCUGCAGAAAAUUAACUGCUCUAAACUCUGUUUAUGCGCUGGAUCUACAACAAUCACCCCCAAACUUGCAUCUGUGAAUGGCUAUUUAUGUUGACUGCUUUAAAUUUCCAGCAUAGUGUAGAUGUGGUUGAUGUGAACGAUAGACUUGCUGCUGGGUGCAGGAUUCCAGCUUAGGACGCGUUUUAUUUUCCACGUUCGCAACCUGCAAUUAACCAAUAUGCGU